rnacentral:lncRNA from 1 species
CAAGGUCACUAGGUGAGGGGGGAGGGGAGGAAGGCUAUUUCUUUGUUGUUGGAGCCAGUGGGAUGCUGUGGCCAUCAGGCCACGUGUCCCACGUUUGUCAGGCCCCUAACAUUCACCAGGCACUGAGCAAUGCUGAGUGCAGCUGGGUGUGGGGCACACGUCUAUAAUCCCAGCACUCCGGAGGCUGAGGCAGGAGGAUUGCCACGAAUUCUCCUCCCAGAACACAGAGAAUUCCACAUGUCCCUACUCUGAAAGAUCUUCAGAAUGGUAGGAAACUAACAUUUAGCCUGUGCUGCACCGUUGAGAGCAAAGAAGAGGGACCUCUUGAUGCCGUCUUGGUCAGGAAUGAGGCUGAGAAAGAAUAACCCCAAGACUGAAUGUUGACGGAUCACUAGGAAUUUUCCAGGCAAAAGUUGGGAAAAACAGUGCAGAAGAAAACCACUUGACGGAAGUUCUGGAGACUGGAUGUUGUAAAAGAUAUUGGUACCCAAGGGAUUCCUGGAGUUAAUCCUUGAUGGAUGCCAAGGGACAACUGACUACACAGAUCACCAGGUAGACGUCGAGUUCCAGGGAUGUGCUUGUUGUUGUGCCAGGAAGGUCUGUUGUGUGCAUAGUGUUCUGUCAUGCUUGCCCAACUCCAUAUCUGAAAAUGUUAUUUUAAGGA